rnacentral:lncRNA from 1 species
ACUUCUUAACAGUCUCAUAGACAAUCACUAGUUCAUCCCUAGCAUCAUAUAACCACACGUUACACAGCCUCUCACUAACCGAGCCUUCACGGCUCCUUGGCUUGACCAGAACCAUCCUUAGUUCCUGAAACCACAACCAGAUAAGCAUUAAUCAUAACCAAGAAUAGAACGGAUUGAUUCUACAAUGCUUGGCUUGGUUCCUAGAACUUAGAUAAACCUUAGUC